rnacentral:rRNA from 1 species
GAUGAACGCUGGCGGCAUGCCUAACACAUGCAAGUCGAGCGAAGCACCUUACUUGAUUUCUUCGGGAUGAAAGUAUUGUGACUGAGCGGCGACGGGUGAGUACGCGUGGAUAACCUGCCUCAUACAGGGGGACAACAGCUGGAAACGGCUGCUAAUACCGCAUAAUAUAUACAGGUCGCAUGAUUUGUAUAUCAAAGAUUUAUCGCUGAAAGAUGGACUCGCGUCUGAUUAGCUAGUUGGCGGGGUAACGGCCCACCAAGGCGACGAUCAGUAGCCGGACUGAGAGGUUGAACGGCCACAUUGGGACUGAGAUACGGCCCAG